GUCACUUCACGCUUGUAUAUCAUUAACUGACAAUUUCAAAGGGACACUAUAGUCACCAGAGCAACUACAGCUUAUUAUAUUUGUUCUGGUGGGUAGAAUCAUUCCCUUCCCCUCUUUUUACAGUAAACACUGCCGUUUCAGUGAAAAUGAAGUGUUUACAUUACAGCCUAGGGAUACCUCCACUGGCCACUUGUCAGAUGGCUACUAGAGGUGCU